ensembl:lncRNA
CAGAAUUGCACAUCAGAACACCAUGUGAAUCAGUGGAUGUUAAAGAGUUAAUGUUCUGGUUCCGUUUACUGCCUCCUAUGGGCGUUUUGAGUGUUCUGGUGGGAGGGGAGGGGUAGCUUCCCCGGAGGACUUGGCGCCAAGGGCGAGUGAGGUGGAGCUGCGGGCGGGACGCUGGCCGUCUCUCCCCCCUUCCAGGCCGGCUCAGCUCGCUGCGGAGAAAGUGCAGUGCUGCAGGACACCAGCCUUGACACACUUCUCCCUUUCCUUGCUGUCCUUCACAUUGUGAAUAAGUGAACCUUCAGCCCUGCAAGCCUUGUACGCAAUUCAAAGUGCAAGAGCCAAUGCACUUGCCAUCAGAAGGACAGAGCAGGACACCUUGCGUUCUGAGGAUGUGAAGAUGUUUGGAGGUGUGAAGAUGGUCAGGAUGAGUCUGAGGACUGUCCUCUGGAAGCAUGUAGAAGAUCUGCAUUCCGGGCUGUCCCUCUCCUUUGGCAGCAUUGCUCCUGAAGUUGACUCUACAAAUGACUGGAAUUGCACACUUAUUUCCCAUCAUUUGCUCACAUCUCACCGCUGGCUGUGUUCAUGCUUUGAAGGAUCAUGGCAGCGCUGCCUUACUGCUCCAGCCUGGUUCAGAGGAAACACAGAAAAUGAAGAGACAUGGAAAUACUUGUUGUACUUCUUUCCUGCAUCUUGGAUUCCAUUAGUCCUCCUGAAUUCUCCUUGGUCUUUAGACCAGUUACAGGUUUUUAUUACACCCAGAUCCUUGUCUAGUUCCUUCCCCACUGUUAUUGUUGUUGGCUUCAGAGGUAUUGUACACUGGAUGAAUGGGAGUGGAUAUCUGCUUCUUAGUUAUAUGUGCCUGUAUAACUUUCCUAGCUCUAUUUAAUAGACUAUGCCAACAUAAAUGUGAAUGAUACAAGUCCUUAUAUUGUAAGUUUAUAUAGAUAUGUUUCUUUGGAAUAUCUUCUAUUCUCUUCAUAUGUAUGAUUGAAAUGAAAGCUUAAAAUGGAAAAUGAGUUUCUUUAAGGCAUUCCUGAAGUCUGUUUCACAAGUAAACAGCAGUUCUUUAAAUUUUAUGCCCCUUUUUUUGGAGUGCACAAAACCCCAUGGCUUAUUUUAUCAGUUUAUAGAGAUUUGCUGCUCAAACCCAUCUUCAAAAAUACAAAUAUAUCUAUUCAUUACAUUUUUUUUUUUUUUUGUUACAAAU